rnacentral:rRNA from 1 species
AACGUAGGUUCCGAGCGUUAUCCGGAUUUACUGGGCGUAAAGCGCGUUCAGGCGGUUUGGCAAGUCGGGCAUGAAAUCUCUCGGCUCAACCGGGAGAGGUUGUCCGAUACUUCCAGACUUGAGGGCAGUAGAGGGUGGUGGAAUUCCGGGUGUAGUGGUGAAAUGCGUAGAUAUCCGGAGGAACACCAGUGGCGAAGGCGGCUUCCUGGACCUGAUCUGACGCUGAGGAGCGAAAGCGUGGGGAGCGAUCCGG